rnacentral:rRNA from 1 species
AGCGGCGGACGGGUGAGUAACACGUGGGCAACCUGCCUGUAAGACUGGGAUAACCCCGGGAAACCGGGGCUAAUACCGGAUAAUACAUGGUUUCGCAUGAAACCAUGUUGAAAGAUGGCUUUUACGCUAUCACUUACAGAUGGGCCCGCGGCGCAUUAGCUAGUUGGUAAGGUAACGGCUUACCAAGGCAACGAUGCGUAGCCGACCUGAGAGGGUGAUCGGCCACACUGGGACUGAGACACGGCCCAGACUCCUACGGGAGGCAGCAGUAGGGAAUCUUCCGCAAUGGACGAAAGUCUGACGGAGCAACGCCGCGUGAACGAAGAAGGUUUUCGGAUCGUAAAGUUCUGUUGUUAGGGAAGAACAAGUGCCGUUCGAAUAGGGCGGCACCUUGACGGUACCUAUCGAGGAAGCCCCGGCUAACUACGUGCCAGCAGCCGCGGUAAUACGUAGGGGGCAAGCGUUGUCCGGAAUUAUUGGGCGUAAAGCGCGCGUAGGCGGUUUCUUAAGUCUGAUGUGAAAUCUUGCGGCUCAACCGCAAGCGGUCAUUGGAAACUGGGGAACUUGAGUGCAGAAGAGGAGAGUGGAAUUCCACGUGUAGCGGUGAAAUGCGUAGAUAUGUGGAGGAACACCAGUGGCGAAGGCGACUCUCUGGUCUGUAACUGACGCUGAGGUGCGAAAGCGUGGGGAGCGAACAGGAUUAGAUACCCUGGUAGUCCACGCCGUAAACGAUGAGUGCUAGGUGUUAGGGGGUUUCCGCCCCUUAGUGCUGCAGUUAACGCAUUAAGCACUCCGCCUGGGGAGUACGGCCGCAAGGCUGAAACUCAAAAGAAUUGACGGGGGCCCGCACAAGCGGUGGAGCAUGUGGUUUAAUUCGAAGCAACGCGAAGAACCUUACCAGGUCUUGACAUCUUCGGAUGUCCCUAGAGAUAGGGAGUUCCCUUCGGGGACCGAAUGACAGGUGGUGCAUGGUUGUCGUCAGCUCGUGUCGUGAGAUGUUGGGUUAAGUCCCGCAACGAGCGCAACCCUUGAUCUUAGUUGCCAGCAUUCAGUUGGGCACUCUAAGGUGACUGCCGGUGACAAACCGGAGGAAGGUGGGGAUGACGUCAAAUCAUCAUGCCCCUUAUGACCUGGGCUACACACGUGCUACAAUGGAUGGUACAGAGGGAAGCAAAACCGCGAGGUCAAGCCAAUCCCAUAAAACCAUUCUCAGUUCGGAUUGUAGGCUGCAACUCGCCUACAUGAAGCCGGAAUCGCUAGUAAUCGUGGAUCAGCAUGCCACGG